CCUACGGGAGGCAGCAGUGAGGAAUAUUGGUCAAUGGGCGGGAGCCUGAACCAGCCAAGCCGCGUGAGGGAAGAAGGUACAGCGUAUCGUAAACCUCUUUUGUCAGGGAACAAAGGCGGGGACUAGUCCCCGGAUGAGGGUACCUGAAGACAAAGCAUCGGCUAACUCCGUGCCAGCCGCCGCGGUAAUACGGAGGAUGAGAGCGUUAUCCGGUUUUAGUGGGUUUAAAGGGUGCGCAGGCGGCCUGUUAAGUCAGCGGUAAAAGCCCGGGGCUCAACCCCGGCGAGCCGUUGAAACUGGCGGGCUGGAGUUGGAGAGAGGUACGCGGAAUGCGCGGUGUAGCGGUGAAAUGCUUAGAUAUCGCGCAGAACCCCGAUUGCGAAGGCAGCGUACCGGCUCCACACUGACGCUGAGGCACGAAAGCGUGGGUAUCGAACAGGAUUAGAUACCCCUGUAGUC
rnacentral:rRNA from 1 species